UGGGGAAUUUUGGACAAUGGGCGCAAGCCUGAUCCAGCCAUGCCGCGUGCAGGAAGAAGGCCUUCGGGUUGUAAACUGCUUUUGUACGGAACGAAAAAGCCCUGGUUAAUACCUAGGGCUGAUGACGGUACCGUAAGAAUAAGCACCGGCUAACUACGUGCCAGCAGCCGCGGUAAUACGUAGGGUGCGAGCGUUAAUCGGAAUUACUGGGCGUAAAGCGUGCGCAGGCGGUUUUGUAAGACAGAGGUGAAAUCCCCGGGCUCAACCUGGGAACUGCCUUUGUGACUGCAAGGCUGGAGUGCGGCAGAGGGGGAUGGAAUUCCGCGUGUAGCAGUGAAAUGCGUAGAUAUGCGGAGGAACACCGAUGGCGAAGGCAAUCCCCUGGGCCUGCACUGACGCUCAUGCACGAAAGCGUGGGGAGCAAACAGGAUUAGAUACCCUGGUAGUCCACGCCCUAAACGAUGUCAACUGGUUGUUGGGUCUUAGCUGACUCAGUAACGAAGCCAACGCGUGAAGUUGACCGCCUGGGGAGUACGGCCGCAAGGUUG
rnacentral:rRNA from 1 species